rnacentral:lncRNA from 1 species
GCAGCUACUGUGAGUUUUUCUUCGUCAAAGGAGAAUACGGCAUCCUCACAGGGUUGUAAGGGUAAUGCGCCCGUAGUAGGUACUGGAGAAGUGGGAAUAAUCAGGGUGUUGAUGGUUUAAGUGUUUAUUGGGGGUGUUUGUGGUCGUUGUGAAAUUUGGUGGUAUUAGGCGUUGGAGGAGUUGGGUUACCUGUUCAAGAUCUUCUCUGGUGAUGGCUUGAGGUUCCAUGAUCAAGGUUUGAAUCUGAUACCAAAUGAUGGGGGUAUGAAUAGGAGAAGGGAAACAAACAGGAAGGAUAUGGUAAUGAACUGGAAAUAUUGAAUAUUAGUAGUUACUGCAGAACCAUCUUUAGCGGCAAUAAAUCUUCUUCUUCUUCAGGAAUAGGCAGGAGAUGAAGCAUAGCUUGGAAACUUCGAAAGAGAACAAUCUCCAAAAGAAGGUGUUAUCUGGUAUUAUUGAUGUCCUACACCUGUGUCUGAUGUUGAAUGUAAUCAGGAAGUUAGAGGAUCGGAAUGGAUUGAGGAUUAACCAAACUAUUCGGCAGAAAACAAGUACAAUUGUCUUUCAGAAUUUACCCAAAC